UCCCCGGCCCGCCGGAACCAAUGAACGGCCAUCUCUGGUCCAGCUCCUUCCGUAGCGUCCAAUCAGCUCGCUCUCUGCUCGGUCGACCUGUUAGCUCCUCGCCUAGAGCGCCACCGCCCCUCAUCCGCCUUCGCCAAUCGCCUUAGACCUCGAGAGCGUCCCACCCGCCUCCCUCGAUCCGGGCCCGCCCCCAAGCCGCGGUCGGGAGCGGUCUCCGCCCCGCUGGAGAGCUUGUAGUUUUUGGGACCACUGCCCAAAGUGAACCCGCCGAGACUCUCUGGUUGACUUCUGCUGAGGCAAGGGGGAUUGGAUGAUUUUGCUCAUGAGCCUCACCUACGUAGGGACAGGACUGAUGGUGAUUGUGAAAAUCAGGACCCAAGGUGAACAGUCAAUAAAAAGAAACAGGAAUUGACACACAGAGAAAAAGAAAUAUGAAGAGUCACACCCCACAAUUUCAUCUUGUAAAUGAGCUCAGGAAAUGAGAACGGAGGGAAAGCCCCUGGGGCUGGCGGCCUGCACUCCUGUCCCUGCAGACAGACAUCUGGGUUUUAAUGACAUGAUAUGGCAAGAAUCAUUUGGUACCAUCAUUGCUGUUAAAUGUCUUUCAGGCAUUAAUAAAACAUAAGAGACUUGCUUAAAAUGGCAUUUAUACUGGAAACCUUGCCGUGAUGGUAUGUAAUGAAUCACUGGUGCGCUUUAUCAGUGGCUGUGUUUUUGGCAGGAUAGCUG